rnacentral:rRNA from 1 species
AUUGAACGCUGGCGGCAGGCCUAACACAUGCAAGUCGAACGAGUGGCGGACGGGUGAGUAAUGUCUGGGAAACUGCCCGAUGGAGGGGGAUAACUACUGGAAACGGUAGCUAAUACCGCAUACCAUCGGAUGUGCCCAGAUGGGAGUAGCUUGUAGGUGAGGUAACGGCUCACCUAGGCGACGAUCCCUAGCUGGUCUGAGAGGAUGACCAGGCACGCUGGAAGUGAGACACGGUGCAGACGCCUACGGGAGGCAGAAGGGGGGAAUAGUGCACAAUGGGAGCAAGCCUGAUGCAGCCAUGCAGCGGGGAUGAAGAAGGCCUUCGGGUUGGAAAGUACUUUCAGCGGGGAGGCGUUACCCGCAGAAGAAGCACCGGCUAACGCCGUGCCAGCAGCCGCGGUAAUAC